CUAGCAAUUAUUUGCCCAUUGACUUCAAUGUUAAAUGGCUGUAACAUCACAGGCUGUAGCUUUUUGCUCACCAUUCCGUUGUUUCCAAUCUUUAUAGGCACAAUGGGGACCACAUUUGGCAAUCUCGUCAUCAUAAUUUUGUAGGGGGUUCACCCAUUAAAUUUUUUGCUACGGGGAUUUAAUGUUGACUGGGAAAAAUUGUCUAUUUAUAAUUACUAAAAUACUAGUCUGAGUCCAUGAUAUAGACGGGUAGUGAUUGUAUGCGAUAUCAGUUCUGUUGAAGCGGACGUUAACUAAACUUAAAAAGCUAUUUCACACACACGGAUAGUAACUGUCUACGAUACCACCUUGGUGGAAGUGGACGUAAAACUCCAGGAACGAACAAAUCCAAACGGAUCAGGCCUAGUGUUUUUUUUUAUUGUCUGCGAUAUCACCCAAGGUGGAAACGGACGUGAAACCCUACGAACGAACGUAGUGUGUUUUUUUUUAUGAGUGACAGUUGUUUCCGUAAGAAGAGGAAUUGUCAACUUGAAAACUCCUAAAGAUGGGAUUACCUACAGAACGUUUGUUUCUUGUAAUAAGAACAGCAUUGUAUGCCCUCAUUUUCUUGCUGGGCAUGUUUAUAUUUUCACCAUUAUCUUUGCAGAUGAAUGUACAUGAUGGGAAUUGCAUAUUGUAUGCCGAGAGAGAAACAGACUAUCCCAGUAAAUCAAAUUGCAGUUUCUGUAUUGCCAUUGGAGUUUUGUUUUGUUUUAUAUAUGGUGGCCUCAUGACAGUAAUAGGAGCUCUCAGACUGUUUGAAAUUAUCAGCGACAGUGAAAAGUUUAAAGGAAUUUUAUUUAUCGUAAAUGUUGUAGUUGAUGCUGUAUCACUGUUUCUGGUAUUAGUUACAGCCUGUAUUUUAUCAGUAGGAUUAAAAACACUUUGUGAUAGUUUUACCCCAACUGAUUAUCA